rnacentral:rRNA from 1 species
GACAGAGGGUGCAAACGUUGCUCGGAAUUACUGGGCGUAAAGAGCGUGUAGGCGGCCAGAUAGGUCUGCUGUGAAAACUCGAGGCUCAACCUCGAGAUGUCGGCGGAAACCAUUUGGCUAGAGUCCGGAAGAGGAAAGUGGAAUUCCUGGUGUAGCGGUGAAAUGCGCAGAUAUCAGGAAGAACACCCGUGGCGAAGGCGGCUUUCUGGGACGGUACUGACGCUGAGACGCGAAAGCUAGGGGAGCAAACGGG